rnacentral:lncRNA from 1 species
GUGUUUCUAUAAAAACGAAACGUUUUUUAACUAAACAAAGGACUGCGGUUAAUUUCUCUGAAAUAGAAGAGUUUUUUGGUAAAACCGCCAGCGAGGAACGACAGAGGCGCUCCGCGCUUUAUUAUUAGAUUAGAUGUGAUGGUCCUCUUUUUUCUAAUAAAUUAAAGGCCAGAUGUUUCUGAUUAAUGUGAGAUUUUGUAGUUAUUUUUGUAUUUUUGAUCGGUAUUUUGCUUUUGUAGUUGUG